CGGAAGGUCCAGGCGUUAUCCGGAUUUAUUGGGGUUUAAAGGGAGCGUAGGCGGAUUAUUAAGUCAGUGGUGAAAGACGGUGGCUCAACCAUCGUUAGCCAUUGAAACUGGUAGUCUUGAGUGCAGACAGGGGAUGCUGGAACUCGUGGUGUAGCGGUGAAAUGCUUAGAUAUCACGAUGAACUCCGAUCGCGAAGGCAGGUGUCCGGGCUGCAACUGACGCUGAGGCUCGAAAGUGUGGGUAUCAAACAGGAUU
rnacentral:rRNA from 1 species